rnacentral:rRNA from 1 species
UGAUCCUGGCUCAGGAUGAACGCUAGCUACAGGCUUAACACAUGCAAGUCGAGGGGCAGCGGGAUUGAAGCUUGCUUCAAUUGCCGGCGACCGGCGCACGGGUGAGUAACGCGAAUCCAACCCUCCGUACACUCAGGGAUAGCCUUUCGAAAGAAAGAUUAAUACCUGAUGGUAUGAUGAGAUUGCAUGAUAGCAUCAUUAAAGAUUUAUCGGUGUACGAUGGGGAUGCGUUCCAUUAGGUAGUAGGCGGGGUAACGGCCCACCUAGCCAACGAUGGAUAGGGGUUCUGAGAGGAAGGUCCCCCACAUUGGAACUGAGACACGGUCCAAACUCCUACGGGAGGCAGCAGUGAGGAAUAUUGGUCAAUGGACAAGAGUCUGAACCAGCCAAGUAGCGUGAAGGAUGAAGGUCCUACGGAUUGUAAACUUCUUUUAUAAGGGAAUAAACCCUCCCACGUGUGGGAGCUUGUAUGUACCUUAUGAAUAAGCAUCGGCUAACUCCGUGCCAGCAGCCGCGGUAAUACGGAGGAUGCGAGCGUUAUCCGGAUUUAUUGGGUUUAAAGGGAGCGCAGACGGGUCGUUAAGUCAGCUGUGAAAGUUUGGGGCUCAACCUUAAAAUUGCAGUUGAUACUGUCAGUCUUGAGUACAGUAGAGGUGGGCGGAAUUCGUGGUGUAGCGGUGAAAUGCUUAGAUAUCACGAAGAACUCCGAUUGCGAAGGCAGCUCACUGGACUGCAACUGACACUGAUGCUCGAAAGUGUGGGUAUCAAACAGGAUUAGAUACCCUGGUAGUCCACACAGUAAACGAUGAAUACUCGCUGUUUGCGAUAUACAGUAAGCGGCCAAGCGAAAGCAUUAAGUAUUCCACCUGGGGAGUACGCCGGCAACGGUGAAACUCAAAGGAAUUGACG